GGAUACAGCCAUACCACCCUGAACAUGCCUGAUCCUGUCUGAACUUGGAAGCUAAGCAGGGUCAGGUCUGAUUAGUACUUGGAGGAGAGAUCACCUGGGAAUACCAGGUGCUGUAGGCU
rnacentral:rRNA from 1 species